UAUCCCACAUGUUAGUUGAGGAAAAACUUCAGGCUGGUCAUUUAGAGCCUAUGCUCAGCCUGUGUAACACACCCACCUUUGUAAUAAGGAAAAAAUCUGGUAACUGGUGAUUAUUACAAUACCGAAGAUCUAUUAAUUGUGUUAUAAAGCCCAUUGGAGCAUUACAAUCUGGGCUUCUUCUCCUACAGCUAUUCCUUUAGAUUAUUAUUUGAUAAUAAUGGAUCUGAAAGAUUGCUUCUUCUGUAUACCUUUGCACCCAGAGGACUGUAAAAGGUUUGUCUUUAG
rnacentral:sRNA from 1 species